UGUGCCUUGUGGCGGCUAUGGAGGCGCUGAGCUUGACUGGAUGGCAAGAUCGGGCCAUGGCGGACGAAGCGCUUCUCAUGGAUGAAGCGUUCUUUGAUCAGAUCCGAUGGAUUUGAGGAGGGCAGGGAAGGGUUUGAGGAUGUGAAUGCGGGCGGCGGCGUGGAUGCGCAGCGCGAUCUGCCAGUGAAGAGAAAACUUGUGGUUCCCGAUGUGUGCGUGGAGUCGACGAUGCUGUAGCGUAAAAGACUCCAAUUGCCGUCGUAGAGGACAGUAUCAUUGUUCUCGAAGAUUGCCGGGGAAGAAAAUUGUCGCGAAGAGACUUUUGACGGAACCGUGGUUGGAGCAAGAAGUUGAUAGAAACUUCUCUGAUAAUAAAAAGUUUGUUCUCAUGGAUUUUCUCGAAGGCUUGCGAGCUCGCUGAGAAGGAAAGAGAUCUCAUCGCUGUCUCGAGGGAGAGGCUAUGGGUUGAUCAAUACUCGCUGAAGUCGUUCCCGAGCUUUUAAGCGAUGAACGGAUCAAUCGAGAGUUGCGGAUACGGUGUUAGAAGGCACUCUACACUUAGAGGUUCUCAAAGACAAUAACAAGAUAUGAGGCGAAGAACAAACGGAACAGCGUCAACGAUAACAAGAGUUCUUCAGGUGACCGGCAAGAGAUCAGAAGGUCCUUCUUUUAUGUGGCUCGCCGGGCCUUGGAAAGACGACACUUGCACAAGUUCCUCGUAUGUGAUGAUCGCACAGCGUCUUCUUUUCGGACCGAAACUUUGGAUGCUCUUCAAAUCGAGACAGUCACAGGGGAUUCUGACCGCUCCAUCUAUUUCAUCAAGAAUCUGUCAAUUCAGUAAAUCUUCCACAGAGCAGUAAUUUUACCAGACAAUUUGGCUGGGAAGGGGUUUUUUAGUUGGUCUGAUUACUGCAGAGGCGAAGGCUGUCUCUCGAAAUGAUAACGACGAUAAAAAUGUCCAAACCUCAAAGAAAGAAGACUGCCAUCUCUCGACUGUCUAGACCCGUAAGAUUGCGUCGUAUAGAGAACCUGACCAGCUUUUGUGGCACAGAUAGUUUGCGUUUGCAACGAUCUCUACGCUUCACAUUGCCCGGUACUGCAACACCAUCUUGUUUAUCUCAUAACAGCAGGUUUGGCAGGAUUAAUACUUUUUCUCCUCCAAGUCCUCAUAGGAUAGUGACAACUUACAAGGCUAAAUUUCACUUGCAAGUCGGAAGGUUCCAAGGUGUCCGGACAAACGCGCCCUACUCGUCUACAUCAGUGCUCUCUCUGAUACAAAGGAACUGUUACCUCUCGGGCAAUAGCCAACCAGCUUACAGUUCUUAGCCCUGUGCUACGAGAUAUCGGGAGCAUAGUUUGUGGAGACAACAAGAUGAAGUGAUGCCGUGAUUGCUGCUGGUGGUAACAUUCUAUAUCCUAGAAGCUUUUCUCAAGGGAUAUCUUCCUGGUGGUGUUGUUGGAGCGCACCAAUCAUAGAGCGGUCCUGAAGCCAUCUUCGACGUGAAAGAGGAGGAGGCAGUCUACGCGCUGGGAAAUCUCUACGUGAUGCCGAAAGAAGCAACAGCAGCACAGAGUCGCCCAAUAGUGAAGUCGCCCGACCCGGAGGCAUCAAAACUCGACCGGUAGCUUCGCUGACACGAAGCUCUUUGUGCUCACAGGCGGCACAAAGCUCAUGGAAGUGAAAUUGCGAUGGAAUGCUGCGCUCCACUGAGAAACAUGGGGAAUCAUCUCCUCAACACUUCCUUUGUUAGCGAGCUCGAAGAAGAAGUAAAAAAAUUUAAAGUGACGGUAUCUUAGGUAUAUCCAUUAAGUGAUUUCAAAAUGGGGUAUCAAAUA